rnacentral:rRNA from 1 species
CCUACGGGAGGCAGCAGUGAGGAAUCUUGGUCAAUGGACGCAGGGCUGAACCAGCAAAGUCGCGUGAGGGAUGACGGUCCUAUGGAUUGUAAACCUCUUUUGUCAGGGAGCAAAGGGCGCCACGUGUGUCGAUUUGCGAGUACCUGAAGAAAAAGCAUCGGCUAACUCCGUGCCAUCAGCGGCGUUAAUACGGUGGAUGCGAGGGUUAUCCGGAUUUAUUGGGUUUAAAGGGUGCGCAGGCGGAAUGUAAAGUUAGCGGUAAAAUUUCGGGGCUCAACCCCGUCGUGCCGUUGAAACUGGCGGUCUUGAGUGAGCGAGAAGUAUGCGGAAUGCGUGGUGUAGCGGUGAAAUGCAUAGAUAUCACGCAGAACUCCGAUUGCGAAGGCAGCAUACCGGCGCGCAACUGACGCUCAUGCACGAAAGCGUGGGUAGCGAACAGGAUUAGAUACCCUUGUAGUC